rnacentral:rRNA from 1 species
UACGUAGGGGGCGAGAGUUGUCCGGAUUUACUGGGUGUAAAGGGUGCUCAGGCGGAUAUACAAGUCAGAGGUGAAAUACCGGGGCUCAACUCCGGCACUGCCUUUGAUACUGUAAGUCUAGAGGUUGAAAGAGGGUAAUGGAAUAUCUGGUGUAGCAGUGAAAUGCGUAGAUAUCAGAUAGAACACCAAUGGCGAAGGCAGUUACCUGGUUCAACACUGACGCUAAAGCACGAAAGUGUGGGGAGCAAACAGG